rnacentral:tRNA from 1 species
CAUGUGGCCUGGUGGUGAAGGCACUCGCCUGGAAAGCGCGAGCAGCUGGGCUUCCUCCAGGGGGUGCAGGUUCAAAUCCCG